AUUGAACGCUGGCGGCAGGCCUAACACAUGCAAGUCGAGCGAGCGGCGGAAGGGUGAGUAAUGUAUGGGGACUGCCCGCGAGAGGGGGAUAACUACUGGAAACGGUAGCUAAUACCGCAUACUAUAGGAUACCACCUAUGGGAUUAGCUAGUGGGUGAGGGAAUGGCUCACCUCGUCGACGAUCCCUAGCUGGUCUGAGAGGAUGAUCAGCCACACUGGGACGGAGACACGGCCCAGACUCCCACGGAGGCAGCAGUGGGGAAUAUUGCACAAUGGGCGCAAGCCUGAUGCAGCCAUGCCGCGUGUAUGAAGAAGGCCCUAGGGUUGUAAAGUACUUUCAGUCGGGAGGCGUUACCGACAGAAGAAGCACCGGCUAACUCCGUGCCAGCAGCCGCGGUAAUAC
rnacentral:rRNA from 1 species